CACUUGAUGCAAAUUUGCUGGGGUCAAGGGCACAUGUACAUCCAUAAACAACACUUUAUUCAAAUAAGCAACGUCUUGUUGCGGCUACUAAUGCCUAGCCGAUUAACUUGAAAGCAGCAGCUUUCCUUGCAAGCUGCACUCGUGUGUUGGGAGACAGGUCAAAUACUGGGCUACCAAAUGGAGCUUCAUUCAAAUAACCAUCACGCGGAUCAUGCUCAUCUCCUGCAGUAGAAUAGGUAAAGUCGUUCAAUCAUCAUGGCUGACUAAGCAUGUACUUCAUUUAGAUUCUUCACACGCAAUUUUUGAAUGGUCAAUUAUUCAAUACAGAAUACUAUGCAAAAGAAUCAAGUUGGUAUAUUGAGUACUAAAAAUGCUACUAAAUUUGAGAGUAUAUAUAUGCUUCAAAUUCCUACAAAACUAUGUGGCUUCAAUAGAACUCCAUGCAAGGGGGCUGGUGUAGCAUCAAAGAUAAUGCCUACCACAAAAAAGAUGAGGAUCAAAAGUUCUUAACAUGGAAAUGAUGGUGGUAUAAAAAAGAAUUUUGACAUAAAUAAAAUCCCAAUAAUAUAAGCAACAAUGACAGUACGAAUCAAUAGAACUGCCAGGUGGUGGAUGCAGUGACACUCAGGUUUGCUCACAACCUCUACAAUACCACCUACAUAGCACUUAAUAGAUACUGAAAUAAUGCAGGAAUAGAUUUACACAAACUCUUGGUUUCACCAGCCAAGCGUUGGAGGAGCAUAUCAACGAAGGGAGCACCUACAACACGGUGGAUGAAACCGACAACAAACUGGCGGAGAAUUGAAGGAGACCUCCACACAUUAUCUAGCCAAGACAAGUGUCAAUUUCAAAAUCAAGUAGCAAAAUCAUGUAUGCAUUCAAUAAUUGCAUCUUACCACAUAACCAUUGUGACAAUCAACUGCAGUGUGUGCAAUAUAAUGACUGUUAGGUACGACUUCAUGCUAUCCAUGUCAGCAAUGUAACAAAUGUUAUGUAUGACUUCAUGCUAUCCAUCUCAGAAAUUAUUCUUUACCUAGCAGUCAGAUCAUAUCUCAGCAAUUAGCAGGGGAGUAGUGAAAAAAAUAUCAGAGUCAAGCAAAUGGUUGAUGUGCUAAGAGUAAAGCUAAUUCCAGCACACAAAAAGGUGUAACAUCUAACAUCUAAUACUGCUCUAAGACAACACAAAACCUAGCAAAAACUGCAGAUCAAGCAAGAUUAUAUCUAUGUCUAGGUGUAACUAAAUGUUUGAACAGAAAUCAGUGUUGCAUAAUUAAUCCUUGUAGAAAAAAGGAUGGAAGAUAGUCUGCAUCUUCUAACGAAGAAGGUGAAAGGGGCUACGUGCUCGCUCGUUAUAAGAGAAUGACUGAAUGAGUCACAGUUGGGUGACAGUGAUGUACUAUAUUACCGAUAGAAAAGAGUAACAUGCAGGCAGCUAUAACAUCUUGAACAAAGAAAUGAGGUACAAGUGUUUCAACCAACACAUUAUAAGGUACAUGCAUAACUUCCUACCGAAAAGCCUCCGAAAUAUACCCAUGAUCAGGAGAUACAGCAAUAUUAGUAGUAGUGAACACUAUGGUUGUGCUACCUAUGCAAUGCCACAUGCUUUAUUUUGGAAAUUCAUCAUGCUGAUUAAGUCCGUGAGACUAGAUAAAAAUGUCAGGUAGGUCAAUAAUUAACUUACAUAUAUUCUUCUGUGUGCUUAGGUACCGCAUAGCUGAGACAAAAUUGCACGUACAGCACUCCAGUACUAUUGACACUGCAAGAAACAAUUCAAGUUUCAGAUUAAC
rnacentral:lncRNA from 1 species